rnacentral:misc_RNA from 1 species
CCAGACGAUAGAGAGAGCCCCUUGAAAUCUAUCUUCACAAGGCCUUCUAGAAAUAUCAAGAUGAAAACGCUUGACACAAUCACCUACUCAUUUUCCAUGAUGGACAAUGGGGCGAUUCUCCUUUUGUUGGUAUACUUUCUGAUAACAUUGUCUGAUCUGGAGUGUGAUUACCUGAAUGCUAGAGAGUGCUGCAGUAAACUGAACUGGUGGACGCCGUGGCUGCUCGGCGGCCAGGCGCUGCUCUCGGUGGUGCUGCUGUUCUCAGGCCACUGGCUGCUGUGGCUCCUCAAUGUGCCCGUCCUAGUCUGGCUCGUGUACAGACAAUGGUCGGUGAGGCCGGGCAACAUCGGCAUCUACGAUCCCGCCGACAUUCUGAACGGCGGCCAGCUGCAGCGGCACACGCGAAACACCAUGGUCUUCAUCACGUUCUACCUCAUCUUCUUCUUCGUCUACCUAUACCUGUUCAUCUUAGCGCUGCUGCAGACAGAUGAGAAGCCUCCGCCACCGAUAUACGAGCCACGCCACCUGUAGGACCGUCUGGGAACUCUGAAAGUCGCCGCUGCCGCUGGAGGGCGCCAGCAGCUGCGGACCAUCCUAGUCAUGGAUCGCCGAACGGUAUGGGUCGUCACGGAUGUGGCUGGUUGUCAUGGUCACUGGGACCAUGUUGCCAUGGCGACUGUGGAGUUGUUUGGUCUGUUUUGUGAUGAGGCUGCUCCGUCCGACACGAAGCAGCAGAGGCGGGUGGGAUGGGCGGGAGGCGUGGCUCACGUGUGAGUGUUUUUGCGCAAUAGACACUGGGCAGGGAUCUGGCGACCAUCGGGGCCGGAUGGGAUAAGGCGUUAGGUACGGAAGGGAAUGCGAUUGAAUCAUGAUAACACGCUACCAAAGUGCCGCUGUGACCAAACUGAAGUCAGGGUCCCUUUCAAUAAUGAUAAUAAAUGACCGUUGAUGUGUUCUGAUCAGCAGCGAUCAGUUGGCGGCCAAUUUAAGAAUAUCUGCUUUAUAUUUGCGAUCAAAGCUUCGGCAGCUAACUUAUAAGAAAGAACUGGCAUGCCUUUAACUUGGCCAUGUUAUUCCUGCGUUCAUUCAGACAAAAGUGAUCGCUCAAGCAGGCUAACAGUCAGCUUAGCAGGUAUCUGUUUUGUCUAAUUAAUUUGUGUGCCAAUAUUUUGUUUUUACCAUAUCCGUUUCUGUUACGGUGCCUGCUGUCGAUGACCCUUUUUGAGCCUUCCAAGGAUGUCUGAACAAAAACGGUCGUCAGGGCGUGCAAAAACUGCUUAUGCCGUGCACACCCUGUGCCAUUCAAACUCGGAAUGUUCUGGGUGAUGAAAGCUGCUGACAGUUUUAGGAGCGGUCCGUUCCGAGAAUAUCCUCUGUCCGUUAGACAUAGGUCAUGUGAUGUUCAAUUGUGGUAUGAUUUGAUACGAAUUGAGCUUAGCGGCAUCGCAAUGCGUCAUCGUUUGCUGUUGUGUUUCACGCAAAAAGGUUUGAUGUCUCUUAUGUAAAUGUGAAGUGGGAAUGCGGCCCGUGAAUGUGGUUUGAACGUGAUCUCCCCGCUUUCAUUUAACUCAGUUUCCAGAAAAGAAAAGUGUCAUUGACGAAAGAGCCCACCUUCCUAUUUCGUUAAGGACGUUCGAUAUGGAACACUCGUGUCUUUGUGCAGUGUGCACUGUUCUGCGAGUGUAUCUGCCAGCUCAACCGCUGCCCGAGUGUCUGACAGAAGGACCGCCCUCUGAAUACACCAUCUCUCCAUUUUUA